rnacentral:rRNA from 1 species
AUUGAACGCUGGCGGCAUGCUUUACACAUGCAAGUCGAACGGUAGAGGGGGCAACCCCUUGAGAGUGGCGAACGGGUGAGUAAUGCAUCGGAACGUGCCCAGUCGUGGGGGAUAGCCCGGGGAAACCCGGAUUAAUACCGCAUACGACCUGAGGGUGAAAGCGGGGGACCGAAAGGCCUCGCGCGAUUGGAGCGGCCGAUGUCGGAUUAGGUAGGUGGUGGGGUAAAGGCCUACCAAGCCUGCGAUCCGUAGCUGGUCUGAGAGGACGACCAGCCGUACUGGGACGGAGACACGGCCCAGACUCCUGCGGGAGGCAGCAGUGGGGAAUUUUGGACAAUGGGCGCAAGCCUGAUCCAGCCAUGCCGCGUGCGGGAAGAAGGCCUUCGGGUUGUAAACCGCUUUUGUCAGGGAAGAAAUCCUUUGGACUAAUACUCUGGGGGGAUGACGGUACCUGAAGAAUAAGCACCGGCUAACUACGUGCCAGCCGCCGCGGUAA